GGUUGAUCCUGCCAGUAGCAUACGCUUGUCUCAAAGAUUAAGCCAUGCAUGUCUAAGUAUAAAUAAAUCUAUACUGUGAAACUGCGAAUGGCUCAUUAUAUCAGUUAUAGUUUAUUUGAUAGUCCCUUACUACUUGGAUAACCGUAGUAACUCUAGAGCUAAUACAUGCGCAAAUUCCCGACUGCCGCAAGGCGGAAAGGAUGUAUUUAUUAGAUCCAACCAGCCCGGUUCGCCGGAGUCCCUGGUGAGUCAUAAUAACUGAGCGAAUCGCAUGCCCUUGUGGCGGCGAUGG
rnacentral:rRNA from 1 species